GCCUGGCUGGCUCAGCCAGUAGAGCACAGGGCUUUUGAUCUUAGAGGCGUGAGUUCAAGCCCCAUGUUGGGUG
rnacentral:tRNA from 1 species